rnacentral:rRNA from 1 species
AAUAUUGGACCAUGUGGGCAACCCUGAUCAAGCCAUGCCGCGUGUGUGAAGAAGGUCCUCGGAUUGUAACGCACUUUAAGUUGGGAGGAAGGGCUUUAGGGUAAUACCCCGAAGUCUUGACGUUACCAACAGAAUAAGCACCGGCUAACUCUGUGCCAGCAGCCGCGGUAAUACAGAGGGUACAAGCGUUAAUCGGAAUUACUGGGCGUAAAGCGCGCGUAGGUGGUUCAGUAAGAUGGGUGUGAAAUCCCCGGGCUUAACCUGGGAACUGCUUUCAUAACUGCAGAGCUAGAGUACGGUAGAGGGUAGUGGAAUUUCCUGUGUAGCGGUGAAAUGCGUAGAUAUAGGAAAGAACACCAGUGGCGAAGGCGACUAACUGGACUGAUACUGACACUGAGGUGCGAAAGCGUGGGGAGCAAA